UACUCCUACGGGAGGCAGCAGUGGGGAAUUUUGGACAAUGGGGGCAACCCUGAUCCAGCCAUUCCGCGUGAGUGAAGAAGGCCUUCGGGUUGUAAAGCUCUUUCAGCAGGAGCGAAACGGUCGUUUUUAAUACAGACGGCUAAUGACGGUACCUGCAGAAGAAGCACCGGCUAACUACGUGCCAGCAGCCGCGGUAAUACGUAGGGUGCGAGCGUUGAUCGGAAUUACUGGGCGUAAAGCGUGCGCAGGCGGCGACAUAAGACAGAUGUGAAAUCCCCGGGCUCAACCUGGGAACUGCGUUUGUGACUGUGUUGCUAGAGUGUAGCAGAGGGGGGUGGAAUUCCACGUGUAGCAGUGAAAUGCGUAGAGAUGUGGAGGAACACCGAUGGCGAAGGCAGCCCCCUGGGUUAACACUG
rnacentral:rRNA from 1 species